rnacentral:rRNA from 1 species
UACGGAGGGUGCAAGCGUUAUCCGGAUUCACUGGGUUUAAAGGGUGCGUAGGCGGGUAGGUAAGUCAGUGGUGAAAUCUUCGAGCUUAACUCGGAAACUGCCGUUGAUACUAUUUGUCUUGAAUAUUGUGGAGGUAAGCGGAAUAUGUCAUGUAGCGGUGAAAUGCUUAGAUAUGACAUAGAACACCAAUUGCGAAGGCAGCUUACUACAGGGAUAUUGACACUGAGGCACGAAAGCGUGGGGAUCAAACAGG